UUACAUAUAGAUUCUUAGUUAGUUUUCUUAAUUUUUUUGUUUCCCCUUCGUAAAUUGCUACGUUGUGUUUACUUGCAGUAAAUUAAUGUUAUUUCUAUCAAGGAUUUGAAAUUAUAUUAGUUCGCUAAUUAUUUAACUUAUUUCACACAUCACUUCCUAUCUUAGGCUCCCGCAUCAAAUUUCUCUUCCUCUAAAAUUAAGGCCCAAAGCGCUAGAGAAAUCGCAAUGAUAGCAGUACGUGUUCGCGGUAUAAGAUGGCACAACGCGCACGUCGGGAAAGAAAGCGUUCUGAGAAUUACACUCAACCUCUACCCAAAGACUUUCCAGUAUUAACACCACCCAGAGAGAAAGUAUGUCACACGCCCACUAAUUGUCGGACAAAUGGAAAAGAAAAUAUGUCUACCUCUUUGGUAAGUUUUUUGAUCAAGUGCUUGAUACGUAUCUCUUUUGCUCUUAAGAAAAAUAUAGUGGUAAUGUAUUGUCUUUCCCUUGUUCGAUAGUUGUAUAGGAAAAUACCGGUGAUUUACACUCCCCCACAACCCUUAUGUCAUGAUCUGCAAGACCUAACUCCAUUGCACCGAGCCACUAUAGCACACCUUCCACAAAAAAGGUCGCGGAUAAAUAAUUUGAAAUGUUAUCUAACACCUACAAUUGCGUCCGACCCAGUUUUUAUUCCAACUGACUUUGCUUUAUUCUCACCUAUUCUGGUGCGACCUUUACCGUCACCUCGAAAUUUAGAGACAAACUUUGCUCACUAUGAAGUUGUCCCCAAUGUAGCACCACAUUCUCAUCAAACUGACGACAAUGUCCUCAUGACGUCGUCUCCUGUUCUGGAAGAUCUAACAUUGUAUGUAUAUUCUACAUAGUUUAUUAGUUGCCUACUAUCUUACUUCUCAUAUUUGUGUACAUACCAUUUUUAUUUGUAGAUUCCCACCAGAACCCUUUAACGAUGUUUACAGUAUGUUUAGUGAUGACGAAAUGAAUGUUAUUAUCCCUGUCAAUAAUGAGCGUCAUUUUCUCGGGCCGAUGAAUAUUCAGUGUCCUUAUUGUUCAGCCUUACAUUGGCGGGACGAACGAUUAUCUCGCACAGGAUUGUCCAAUCCAAGAUUUGGAACAUGUUGUCUACAAGGCAAAAUUAAGUUACCGGAACUCAUUGCACCCCCACCUCCUAUUCGUGCAUUGUUUGAUGGCCAUGAUGGUCAAGCAAAAUCAUUUCGUCGGCAUAUUAGGGAGUACAAUGCAGCUAAUGCUUUCACGAGCUUGGGUGCUAAGCUUGACGACAGAUUACUCAACUCAAGAGGGCCAACAUCGUUCACUAUCUAUGGAGAAUUACGUCACCGUACCGGGUCAUUGUUACCCCCGGAUGGUUGCGCACCCAUCUACUGUCAGUUGUACAUAUAUGACCCAGCCACUGCAUUGGAUAUUCGGUGUGCGCGGAAUAAUAACUUGUGUCGAGAUGUCCUCAACACUAUACAGAAUUGUUUGUUGUCAGUGAAUCAUUUUGCUUCAAAGUACAAACGUGCCCAUGAAAUACUAACUGAGUCAGAAUCUUCAGAUCAUGAUUUACGUGCUCACCUUCAUUACACGUCAGCAACUAAUAGGCAUCAGUACAAUCUUCCAACCACUGAUGAAAUAGCUGUGAUUUUGCCUGGUGAUGGUAGUGAGAGUAGUGGUAUGCGGGAUAUUGUUCUGCACCUAAAAGGAGAUAAUAGAGCCCUGAGCCAGAUCAAUGAGUGUCAUCCAGCAUAUUUACCAUUACACUAUGUACUUCUAUUCCCUACUGGUAAGCUUAGUUGGGAACCUGGUCUACGACAGUGGAACUCCGAAUAAAAUGAUUUUUCAGUAAGAAGGAUGACACAGAUGCAAUUUUACAGUUAUCGUAUGUUUCCACGUCCCACCGAGUAUUUUACAAUUCUUAGAGGAUGGAAGUUAUUUCAAGAGUUUAUAGUAGAUGCUUGGGCAUCAACGGAGCAAAACAGGUUGUCUUACAUCAGACUCAAUCAGGAUAAGUUGCGUCAUGAGAUUUAUGCAAAUUUGUGUGACGGCAGUGUUGAUGAGUUGGGCCCCGAUCAGAUCGGACAACGCUUUGUUCUGCCAUCGUCCUUUAUUGGGAGUGCACGUAACAUGAGCCAGAUUUUUCAUGACUCUAUGGCCAUUACAAGGUACCACCAACUCCCUGACAUCUUUCUCACCAUGAAGGCCAACCCAAAAUGGCCCGAAAUAACAGCUGCCUUACUAGAACACCAAACCUCUUUGAAUCGUCCAGACAUAGUUGCCCGUGUUUUUGAGUUAAAACGGCGUGGCCUGAUGCAUGAGGUAAAAAAUGAACAGAUUUUUGGUCGAAAAGUUGCUCAUGUAUUCACCAUUGAGUUCCAAAAACGAGGGUUACCAUAUAUGCAUGCUUUAUUCUUCCUUCAUGGCCCUGACAAGAUUUAGACAACUGCACAAGUGGAUCGGUUAGUUAGUGCUGAAUUCCCAGAUCCAUCCACUGAUCCAACUCUGUACGAAACAAUCAAGAGUUGUAUGGUUCAUGGUCCCUGUGGUUCGCGAAACCCUUAUUCAACUUGCAUGGUGAACGGUGCAUGCCGGUUCCAUUAUCCAAAAGCCUUUGCAGAUUCAACUACUAUGGAUGAACAUGGGUACCCUGUUUACCGUCGUCGUUGUAAUGGUCAGUCUUACACCACCAGAGGGCAUACAUUUGAUAAUCGAGACGUCGUACCUUAUAAUCCACACCUAUCAAGAAAGUUCAACUGUCAUAUAAAUGUGGAGGUCUGUGUAGGAAUAAGGUGUGUCAAAUAUAUCCACAAGUACAUUUACAAAGGUCAUGACCACACAACUAUGGUUAUAGAAGGACCAGAUGGAAACAAUGAGAUAAAGCAAUACCUUGAUGCAAGGUAUAUUGGACCGACAGAGGCUACAUGGCGACUCUUCGGUUAUCCUCUUCAUGAAGAAAUUCCUUCAGUUGUACGGCUAGAUCUACAUUUACCUGGGAUGCAUCAAGCUGUUUACGAUCCUACUAAAACACUUGAAACAAUAAGACUUGGGUCUAGGAGUCAAAUCACAACUCUGACUGGAUUCUUUAACUGUUGUUCUUCAAAUGAUGUUGCACGUGCCUACACAUAUCAAGAAUUUUCCCAACAUUUCGUUUGGAACAAAGGUCGGAAGAUUUGGACUCCGAGACAGAAUGGGUUUGUAAUUGGCAGAUUAUACUUUGCUACGCCCAAUUCUGGGGAGCGAUUUUACCUUCGAUUGCCAUUAAUAGUUGUCAGAGGACCGCAUUCUUUUGAUGGUCUACGCACAAUCAAUGGUGUGUUUCAUGAUAGUUUUAAAUCAGCGUGUAUAGCUAUGGGGCUCUUGGAAGAUGAUGCAGAGUGGGUACAAUGCCUCCAGGAGGCUUCAACCAUGAAUACGGGAUACCAGUUACGGAGACUAUUCUGCAUCAUUCUGGUAGAAUGCUCCCAAUACAACCAUGCACUCUGUGGAAUCAAUUCUCCGUCCAUAUAUGUGAUGAUCUUCGUCACAAGCUACAAACAACUUUUGGCAUAUACGAUCUAACACAGUCUUAAAUUGAAGAUUACGGUUUAUAUUUGAUUGAUCAGUUGCUACAUGAAUCUGGCAAAAAAUUGGAUGACUUCCCACCUAUGCCACACCCCGUUCAAAAUUGGAGUUCUGUUUCAAGUAAUAGAUUGUUGAUCGAUCAUAUGCAACUACGAAAUGAAGCUAAUCAACUGAAUGACCUUUUGAAUAUUGAUGUUUUAAAUAAUGCUCAACGUAUGGCUUAUGAUGCUAUCACUAUCUCUGUUGCUGAAAAUCAGGGCAAAAUGUUUUUCCUAAGUGGAGGUGCAGGAACUGGGAAAACCUUUUUGUACAACACCAUCACCACUAAAAUGCGCAACGAAGGUCAUAUCGUCAUUACAGUUGCUUCAUCAGGAAUUGCAUCGUUGUUGUUAUUAGGCGGUCGGACAGCUCAUUCUACAUUUUGCAUUCCAUUCGAUAUCAUAGAAAGCUCGGUAUGUGGUUUCAGCAAACAGUCACCGCAUGGGGAAUUAUUUAGGGAGGCUCGCUUGAUAAUAUAGGACGAAGUUCCCAUGCAGCAUCGACAUGGUGUUGAGGCAGUUGAUCGCACACUUCGUGACGUCCGUGAUGAUAACCGACCAUUCGGUGGUAUCACGAUUGUGCUUGGCGGGGAUUUUCGUCAAAUACUACCGGUGAUACCUAAGGGUCAGCGAGAACAAAUUGUUGGUGCAUCUUUAAGACGUUCUACAAUGUGGGUGAGUGUGCGCGUAUUGACUUUGAGCAUAAACAUGCGUCUGAAUGGCAAUCAUCCUGCAAAUUCUUCUCACGCAUCCUUCUUGGAAGAGGUGAUACAUUUAAUUAUUCAUUUAUAUGUACUGAUAUGUUUCACAUCAUACUUAGAUUGGGAUCGGUACGCAAGAUACUGUGGAACUUCCUCCAACGAUACACAGGUGUCGAACUCUGCAUGAACUAAUUUCUAGAGUUUAUCCACAACUAGAUGUGCUCAGUGUGGUAACCCCAUCCUAUUUAACUGAGCGCAUAAUUCUUUCUGCUCGGAAUGAUGAUGUCUGCGCCAUCAAUGAUGCUGCUCUACAAAUUUAUCCUGGCGAGACAUAUACCUACUUGGCAACUGAUAAGGUGUCAGAUGGGGACGAACUCUGUCGUUCUACCACUAAUCAAUAUCUAAGUGAGUUUCUAAAUUCUCUAAACCCGCCAGGUUUACCGCCUUUCAAGUUGGAGCUAAAGGUCGGGUGCCCCAUCAUAUUGUUGAGGAAUAUAGCCCCGAAAGAUGGACUCUGUAACGGGACCAGACUAAUGGUUGUCAAGUGCGCAUCGCGGGUUAUUGAGGCUAGAAUUCUAACUGGUGACAAAUCUUCGAAUCUGUGUUUCAUCCCGCGGAUAUCAUUAUCACCGUCGUCCAAAGAUUUACCAUUUCAAAUGACUAGACGCCAAUUCCCAGUACGCUUAACAUAUGCUAUGACAAUCAAUAAGUCGCAAGGCCAGUCAGUCAAGUUUGUUGGUGUAGAUCUGCGCUUGCCUGUAUUCAGCCACGGUCACCUAUAUGUGGCCAUGUCUAGGUGCACGUCGGCUGAUCGCAUCAGUGUCCUUCUCCCUCCUAAUGAAUCAUCUAUCACGACAAAUAUCGUAUAUCCGGAGGUGUUGUUGGACUCUGUGUAAAUAUUAUCUCCUUUUUUAAUGUUUUGAAACUUAGGUCAGGUAAUUGGUUCAUGACUUUUGUUAUGUUUCAAGCAAUAAGGACACUUCUUUCUUGGUAGAAAAAUUGUUUUGUCAAAUUCUUGAUUUGAAAUGCUCUUCAUUUGUUAGUUUUAAUGUAUGCCGUACCUUUAGUCUACUCCUUUAGUAAUCUUAAAAUUAGGAUUUUUGAUUAACAUUUUCCCUAACCAAUAUCAAAAUUCAUAUCAAAAUCAAAACCCUCAAAUUGGGAUGUUCCUAAUUCAAAUUUUCAAUACCCUAAUUUCAAAACUAAUUGACAGCACCUAAUAUUGUCAUUUUGAGAGAGAUUACAAACUGAAAAAUACCUGAUUAGAUUCUCUCUUAGACGUUUGGGAAUGGACAACAGUCCGCAAGUCCAAUAUUACGAACUGUCGUAGUUAUAGCUGCCGGAAAUGAGAAGGCGAUGGCGUUAUUAAAUAAUAUUUUGAACAUAUUUAUAGUAACCACUUGAGCCCGAAUCAAGUCUCAAAUUUACUGUCUCACGAGUACUAUUGAUAUUAACCUUAAAAUUUUAAGGUCACAUUGAGCCCAAGAGUAGCAUUUAGACCUUGAACAUAUUGAAACAACAUAUCCUAACUUGAUCCAUCUUGAUUUAUACUCUUUUUGAAGUGCUUAUUUGUGUCUUUUUUUGGUGAGGGUGGUUUUUUUGUGCACUCAUUGUCUUAUAGUAUAAAAGAGAAAACAAGAAAUUGCGAGUUCUGGAAGUAAAGGAGAAAUUAUAACCUUAUAUGAAUUAUUAGUUAGCCAAUGAAUCAUGAUUUACUUUAAAAAAAAUUAAGCUAUUUGCUUUCAUAUUGAGUUAAGUGAAAAUUUGGAUCACUUUCAUAAUUAUAGAUUGUUUUUUGGUAUACAUUUAUUUUUGCAGAUUAGUAUUGUAGAUUUCUUUUUCAUGGAAUUUUUUUUUUCAAGCUUAGCAUUAGGUAUACACCGACUCCUAGAAGAAAUUGGUCGUUUUGAUGUCAUUUAUAUCUCCAUCUCCAUCUCCAUCAUGCAUUCUUUUCUAUGAUCAAUAGGAAAAAUAAUUUCUUUAAUUAUGUAAACCAAUUAAAAUGAGUGUGUGAGACUUUGUCUUAGGAUCCAGAAAUUCAAACAAAGGCUAAAGAUUUGAACCGAGUCUUAAUGGAGAAUAGCACAGUCGAACAUUCUCAUUAAUAUCAGUUUAUUCAUAAUUCUAAAGUAAUUACUUCAGGCAGAGAAAAUGGGAUAGAGAAACUUAUGACAAUAGUCAAAUUGAGUAGUUUGUGUAUCAUGUUUCUUUUGCUACUGCAGGGGUUUGCGACCUUUGACUAAAGAAUGUCAUGCUGCCAAGCUUUUCUCAAAGCAUAUGAAGGUUGAGAAUCAGGUAGUGAUAUCUUUUCUCAAAACUUUUAUUAGGUCUGAGUACUGGAAUCUAUAAUAUAAGGUGAGG
rnacentral:lncRNA from 1 species